rnacentral:misc_RNA from 1 species
GGAAGGAUCAUUACCGAGUUUGUUCGGGCGCGGCUGCCUCCCUCUGGGUUGAAGUUCGCCGCCCGCAUCUCCCACACCGUGCGUACGCAUGUCAUUACGUUUUAAGCACAAAGGACAAUGUGUCUAAUCAACCAAAGCAAACAAAGCAAAAACUUUCAACAACGGAUCUCUUGGUUCUGGCAUCGAUGAAGAACGCAGCGAAAUGCGAUAAGUAAUGUGAAUUGCAGAAUUCAGUGAAUCAUCGAAUCUUUGAACGCACAUUGCGCCCUCUGGCAUUCCGGAGGGCACACCUGUCCGAGCGCCGUCGCAACACUGAGGCCCAGCCUUGCGUUGGCGGCUCCGGCUUUUUCAGACAGAAAAAGCCGGCCGCCCAAACUUCGACGGCGCCGCACCGCGGCCGACGAUGCGCAAAAGCAGACGUCUGGCAGCGGGUGGUCGGCGGCCUUGUCACACAAGAACAGCUUGGCCUCGGAUCAGGUGGGGAUACCCGCUGAACUUAAGCAUAUCAAUAAGCGGAGGAAAAGAAACCAACAGGGAUUGCCUCAGUAACGGCGAGUGAAGCGGCAUCAGCUCAGAUUUGAAAUCCGGCCGCAAGGCCCGAGUUGUAAUCUGCAGAGGAACGUUCGGCAGAGGCGCCGGUCCAAGUCUCCUGGAACGGAGCGUCGCAGAGGGUGAGAGCCCCGUACGCGGCCGGCAGCCGACGCCGUGUGAACGUCCUUCGACGAGUCGAGUUGUUUGGGAAUGCAGCUCAAAGCGGGUGGUAAAUUCCAUCUAAGGCUAAAUACCGGCCAGAGACCGAUAGCGCACAAGUAGAGUGAUCGAAAGAUGAAAAGCACUUUGGAAAGAGAGUUAAACAGUACGUGAAAUUGUUGAAAGGGAAGCGCUCGCGACCAGACCCGAGCGAGGAUGCUCAGCCCGCCCCUCCGGCGGGCGCACUCUUCCUCGCCCGGGCCAGCAUCGGUUCGGGCGGCCGGACAAAGUCGAGGGGAACGUGGCCUCCUUCGGGAGGUGUUACAGCCCCUCGAACAAUACGGCCAGCCCGGACCGAGGACCGCGCAUCUGCCAGGAUGCUGGCGUAAUGGUCGCUAGCGGCCCGUCUUGAAACACGGACCAAGGAGUCUAACAUCCGUGCGAGUGUCAGGGUGUCAAACCCUCGCCGCGAAAUGAAAGUGAACGGAGGUGGGAGCUUCGGCGCACCAUCGACCGAUCUGGACGCUCUGCCGAAGGAUUUGAGUAAGAGCACGGCUGUUGGGACCCGAAAGAUGGUGAACUAUGCGUGAAUAGGGCGAAGCCAGAGGAAACUCUGGUGGAGGCUCGCAGCGGUUCUGACGUGCAAAUCGAUCGUCAAAUUUGCGUAUAGGGGCGAAAGACUUAUCGAACCAUCUAGUAGCUGGUUCCUGC